GCGGCCUCCUUGUUUCCCCGCCCCAGUACUUCGCCGAUAGCGAGGACGCAAGUUCGGAGGAUGCUGCAGGGCCCUCCCGCAGUGCACCAGCAACAACUGCGUUUGUGGUGUCGGGUCCUGCAGCUGUUGCUGGGCCAAGUGGCCUUACACAGCAACCGCCUACCCUCCAGCAGCCACCCUUCCAGCCGACCCCCCAGCCAACUCAACGAGAGCCGCAAGCACCCCCCCCAUAGGCAGUCGAGGCAGCAGGAC